GACGCUUUAGCUCAGUGGGAGAGCGAGCGAGUGAAGCUUUAGUAGUCCCAUUCGUUCGGUCGUGUGUUCAAUCCACACAAGCGUCA
rnacentral:tRNA from 1 species